AAAAUCCCAUUCUGCCUAUCCACUUUGGUACACCGAGGUCAAUGGAGAGGCUAGAUGUAACGUAACCUCCUAGAUGUGUCCCUGGGAGACACUUUCCUGUCACUCCAAGCUCUCUUUGGCUGCUGAGCUGCCUUUCAGCCCACUUGGAUUUUGAUGGAUUUUAACCCUGAUGAGCAAUUUGGAAGAAGAUCAGCAUGAUAGGAGAUCCUUGUUCCUCGCUGCAUAACUGGAAAUGCCCAGAGAGCAAGUGUGGAAAAAUUGCUGCUGGAGAUUCAAGGCCAGGUGCUUUGGUGCUCGCAGUGGAAGUGUUUUGGUGGAACUGCGUGGCUCUGGAUGCAUCACCUGCGUUUGGAAACACACCCGGCCCUGCUGCACAGCACGCUGAGCAAUUCAUUUUAUCAGGAGCCAAACAGAGGAGAUGCCUUAAGGAGCAGGACGGAGCGUGUCCCCGCAGUCAGAGCUGCAGAAGAAGAUAGAGCACCUUGGCUGGAUAUGAAAGGCCCCAGAAGAACAAAAGAGGAGGAGGAAACAAAAGUCAGAUGGGAAAACAAGCUCGCUAACUUGUUCAAAGAGCCACAGGCUGUCAGCACUGAGCACUAGCGAUUUUGGGGGGCUUUAGUAAAGGAUUGAGUGGUGGAGAUAAAAGCACCACAUGAUUCAUUAAUGUCUUAUGUGGCCUAGACAGGAAGGAGGACAAAGAUGCACAACUGCCAUGGACUUCCUAUGCUGCAUCGCAACACUGGGAAGAAUUGAAACAACUGCAAGAUGUCCUGGGCCAUUCCAGCACCCGCUUUAUCUCCAGUGAUCUUUGACCCCUGCAUGUCAGGAGUUCAAUCUGCCCAGCUGGAACACCAGUGCUCCUGGCUGCUUGUCGACUCCUCUGCUUCAUUUAAUGAAAGUGAGCAAGAGAACCACUGAAAAUUGAGAUGCCUGGGAAGUUAGAAUGGAAAGAUCAGCAGCACAUCUUGGUGGAAGAAAGGAAUUGUUUGUGUCUGUCCUUUUCAGAUAUCCUGGGCACUUUGGGGGUGCAAAGUCUUGAUGGCCCUUGUAAUGAAGGGACCCAUGAAAAAUUGCUUGGUCUGCACAGAAGAGCCCUGGAGACAUUGCAAAGCAGGCACCCAAUUUCUCCCCCCAAAAGCUCAAUUUCUCGCAUGGCCGAGCCUCUGCCCAAAGGAUGGGUCUGUAGGAAGAUGCUGGGGAUGUCCAGCUGUCCCUGCACCCCACAUUUCAGGUAUGGGGCAGUGUGUGGGGUUGUUUGAACCUCACCUACGCAAGGGACACAAGUCAAGGGCCACCACAUUUUAAAGCCACCCCUUCUUCAGGCACACACCUGCCUCUUAGUCAUCUCUUUU